rnacentral:rRNA from 2 species
UGCAGUCGAGCGAAUGGAUUAAGAGCUUGCUCUUAUGAAGUUAGCGGCGGACGGGUGAGUAACACGUGGGUAACCUGCCCAUAAGACUGGGAUAACUCCGGGAAACCGGGGCUAAUACCGGAUAACAUUUUGAACCGCAUGGUUCGAAAUUGAAAGGCGGCUUCGGCUGUCACUUAUGGAUGGACCCGCGUCGCAUUAGCUAGUUGGUGAGGUAACGGCUCACCAAGGCAACGAUGCGUAGCCGACCUGAGAGGGUGAUCGGCCACACUGGGACUGAGACACGGCCCAGACUCCUACGGGAGGCAGCAGUAGGGAAUCUUCCGCAAUGGACGAAAGUCUGACGGAGCAACGCCGCGUGAGUGAUGAAGGCUUUCGGGUCGUAAAACUCUGUUGUUAGGGAAGAACAAGUGCUAGUUGAAUAAGCUGGCACCUUGACGGUACCUAACCAGAAAGCCACGGCUAACUACGUGCCAGCAGCCGCGGUAAUACGUAGGUGGCAAGCGUUAUCCGGAAUUAUUGGGCGUAAAGCGCGCGCAGGUGGUUUCUUAAGUCUGAUGUGAAAGCCCACGGCUCAACCGUGGAGGGUCAUUGGAAACUGGGAGACUUGAGUGCAGAAGAGGAAAGUGGAAUUCCAUGUGUAGCGGUGAAAUGCGUAGAGAUAUGGAGGAAC